UGAAGGACGAAUUUGGAUUUUG
rnacentral:siRNA from 1 species